rnacentral:rRNA from 1 species
GUGCCAGCACGCCGCGGUAAUUCCAGCUCCAAUAGCGUAUAUUAAAGUUGUUGUGGUUAAAAAGCUCGUAGUUGAACCUUGGGCCUGGCUGGCCGGUCCGCCUCACCGCAUGCACUGGUCCGGCCGGGCCUUUCCCUCUGUGGAACCCCAUACCCUUCACUGGGCGUGGCGGGGAAACAGGACAUUUACUUUGAAAAAAUUAGAGUGCUCCAGGCAGGCCUAUGCUCGAAUACAUUAGCAUGGAAUAAUAAAAUAGGACGCGCGGUUCUAUUUUGUUGGUUUAUAGGACCGCCGUAAUGAUUAAUAGGGACAGUCGGGGGCAUCAGUAUUCAACUGUCAGAGGUGAAAUUCUUGGAUCAGUUGAAGACUAACUACUGCGAAAGCAUUUGCCAAGGAUGUUUUCAUUAAUCAGGAACGAAAGUUAGGGGAUCGAAGACGAUCAGAUACCGUCGUAGUCUUAACCAUAAACUAUGCCGACUAGGGAUCGGACGGUGUUAUUCAUGACCCGUUCGGCACCUUACGAGAAAUCAAAGUGCUUGGGCUCCAGGGGGAGUAUGGUCGCAAGGCUGAAACUUAAAGAAAUUGACGGAAGGGCACCACCAGGGGUGGAGCCUGCGGCUUAAUUUGACUCAACACGGGGAAACUCACCAGGUCCAGACACAAUAAGGAUUGACAGAUUGAGAGCUCUUUCUUGAUUUUGUGGUGGUGUGCAUGGCCGUUCUUAGUUGGUGGGGUGACUUGUCUGCUUAAUUGCGAUAACGAACGAGACCUUAACCUGCUAAAUAGCCCGCAUUGCUCCGCAGUGCGCUGCUUCUAGAGGACUUCGCUCAGCGAGAGUUGAGCAUACAGCUGGAUGCCUAGAUGUCUGACGCACGCCGCUAACCUGACGGUCGGCGGAGUCUUGACCGAAGGCCGGGUAAUCCUUGUUAAGUC